rnacentral:rRNA from 1 species
UGAGGAAUAUUGGUCAAUGGUCGGGAGACUGAACCAGCCAAGCCGCGUGAGGGAAGAAGGUACAGCGUAUCGUAAACCUCUUUUGCCGGGGAACAAAAAGGCGGACGCGUCCGCCGAUGAGUGUACCCGGAGAAAAAGCAUCGGCUAACUCCGUGCCAGCAGCCGCGGUAAUACGGAGGAUGCGAGCGUUAUCCGGAUUUAUUGGGUUUAAAGGGUGCGUAGGCGGUGUCCUAAGUCAGCGGUAAAAGCCCGGGGCUCAACCCCGGCCCGCCGUUGAGACUGGGACGCUGGAGUCGGAGAGAGGCAGGCGGAAUGCGCGGUGUAGCGGUGAAAUGCAUAGAUAUCGCGCAGAACCCCGAUUGCGAAGGCAGCCUGCCGGCUCCGCACUGACGCUGAGGCACGAAAGCGUGGGUAUCGAACAGG